rnacentral:rRNA from 1 species
CUACGGGUUGCUCCAGCAGGGAAUAUUGCACAAUGGACGGAAGUCUGAUGCAGCGACGCCGCGUGGAUGAUGAAGGCCCUCGGGUUGUAAAAUCCUUUUCAGGGGGACGGGGAAGGACGGUACCCUUGGAAUAAGCGUCGGCUAACUACGUGCCAGCAGCCGCGGUAAGACGUAGGACGCAAGCGUUAUCCGGAUUUACUGGGCGUAAAGCGUCUGUAGGCGGAAUGGUAAGUUGGACGUGAAAGCUCCGGGCUCAACCCGGAGAGGUCGUUCAAUACUGCCAAACUAGAGGGCAUCAGAGGAGCGUGGAAUUUCCGGUGUAGCGGUAAAAUGCGCAGAUAUCGGAAGGAACACCAAUGGCGAAGGCAACGCUCUGGGAUGAACCUGACGCUAAGAGACGAAAGCUAGGGGAGCGAACAGGAUUAGAUACCCCUGUAGUC